UACGUAGGGGGCAAGCGUUGUCCGGAAUCAUUGGGCGUAAAGAGCGUGUAGGCGGCCCGGUAAGUCCGCUGUGAAAGUCCAGGGCUCAACCCUGGGAUGCCGGUGGAUACUGUCGGGCUCGAGUCCGGAAGAGGAGUGUGGAAUUCCGUGGUGUAGCGGUGAAAUGCGCAGAUAAUCAGGAGGAACACCAAUGGCGAAGGCAGCGACUCUGGGACGUGACUCGACGGCUGAGACGCGAAAGCGUGGGGAGCAAACAGG
rnacentral:rRNA from 1 species